AAACCGCACCCAAAACCGCACUG
rnacentral:siRNA from 1 species